UAUUGGAACGUUAUCGAUAAGAAGAGAGCGUCUAGGCGAACAAUGUUCUUAAAGUUUGACCUCAAAUCAGGUAGGAGUACCCGCUGAACUUAAGCAUAUCAAUAAGCGGAGGAAAAGAAACCAACCGGGAUUGCCUUAGUAACGGCGAGUGAAGCGGCAAAAGCUCAAAUUUGAAAUCUGGUACCUUCGGUGCCCGAGUUGUAAUUUGGAGAGGGCAACUUUGGGGCCGUUCCUUGUCUAUGUUCCUUGGAACAGGACGUCAUAGAGGGUGAGAAUCCCGUGUGGCGAGGAGUGCGGUUCUUUGUAAAGUGCCUUCGAAGAGUCGAGUUGUUUGGGAAUGCAGCUCUAAGUGGGUGGUAAAUUCCAUCUAAAGCUAAAUAUUGGCGAGAGACCGAUAGCGAACAAGUACAGUGAUGGAAAGAUGAAAAGAACUUUGAAAAGAGAGUGAAAAAGUACGUGAAAUUGUUGAAAGGGAAGGGCAUUUGAUCAGACAUGGUGUUUUGUGCCCUCUGCUCCUUGUGGGUAGGGGAAUCUC
rnacentral:rRNA from 1 species